rnacentral:rRNA from 1 species
CAAUAGCGUAUAUUAAAGUUGUUGCAGUUAAAAAGCUCGUAGUUGGAUUUCUGGUGGGAGCGAUCGGUCUGGCGCUUAGCGCGAGUACUUGCAUCGUCUCCGGCCAUCCUUGGGGAAAGUCUGUCUGGCAUUAAGUUGUCGGGCAGAGGAUCCUCAUCGUUUACUGUGAAAAAAUUAGAGUGUUCAAAGCAGGCUUAUGCCGUUGAAUAUAUUAGCACGGAAUAAUAAGAUAGGACUUCGGUACUAUUUUGUUGGUUUGCGCACCAAAGUAAUGAUUAAUAGGGACAGUUGGGGGUAUUCGUAUUCCGUUGUCAGAGGUGAAAUUCUUGGAUUUACGGAAGACGAACUACUGCGAAAGCAUUUACCAAGGAUGUUUUCAUUAA